UACGUAGGUGACCAGCGUUGUCCGGAUUUACUGGGCGUAAAGAGCGCGCAGGCGGUCGUUCAAGUCGAGUGUGAAAGCCCCCGGCUCAACUGGGGAGGGUCAUUCGAUACUGAUCGACUUGAAGGCAGGAGAGGGAAGUGGAAUUCCCGGUGUAGUGGUGAAAUGCGUAGAUAUCGGGAGGAACACCAGUGGCGAAGGCGGCGACCUGGGUGGAUACUGACGCUGAGGAGCGAAAGCGUGGGGAGCGAACAGG
rnacentral:rRNA from 1 species